rnacentral:rRNA from 1 species
GACGAACGCUGGCGGCGUGCUUAACACAUGCAAGUCGAACGGUGAAGCGCCUUCCUUUUUGGUGGGUGUGGAUGAGUGGCGAACGGGUGAGUAACACGUGAGUAACCUGCCCCCUCCUUCUGGAUAACCGCAUGAAAGUGUGGCUAAUACGGGAUAUUCUGGGUCUGUCGCAUGAUGGGUCUGGGAAAGAUAUGGUUUCGGUGGGGGAUGGGCUCGCGGCCUAUAAGCUUGUUGGUGGGGUGAUGGCCUACCAAGGCGGUGACGGGUAGCCGGCCUGAGAGGGUGGACGGUCACACUGGGACUGAGACACGGCCCAGACUCCUACGGGAGGCAGCAGUGGGGAAUAUUGCACAAUGGGCGCAAGCCUGAUGCAGCGACGCCGCGUGAGGGAUGGAGGCCUUCGGGUUGUGAACCUCUUUCGCCAGUGAAGCAGGCCUGCCUCGUUUGUGGGUGGGUUGACGGUAGCUGGAUAAGAAGCGCCGGCUAACUACGUG